GCGGACGAGGAGCGCUGUUUGAGUUGCAUCCUAGCCCAGCAGGUGCGGCCGGGCCGGGGUCAGGAUGGGGUAGGGCGGGGAUCCGCGGCUAAAUCCCCCGUGACUGCACAUUCCAUUCCCCUAGCCCGACCGGCUCCGGGAUGAAGAACUGGCUGAGCUGGAGGAUGCGCUGCGAAAUCUGAAGUGCGGCUCAGGGGCCCAGGGUGGCGACGGGGAGGUCGCUUCGGCCCCCUUGCAGCCCCCGGUGCCCUCUCUGUUGGAGGUGAAGCCGCCGCCGCCGCCACCUGCCCAGACUUUUCUGUUCCAGGGUCAGCCUGUAGUGAACCGGCCGCUGAGCCUGCAGGACCAACAAACGUUCGCGCGCUCCGUGGGCCUCAAAUGGCGCAAGGUGGGGCGCUCACUGCAGCGAGGCUGCCGGGCGCUGCGGGACCCGGCGCUGGACUCGCU
rnacentral:sRNA from 1 species